rnacentral:lncRNA from 1 species
AUUGGUAUUACUUUUGUAGUGGUUUGCAGGUGCUGCACUGAUUGUUCUCGGAGUUAUUGUUUUAAGCAAGUCGAGCAUCGAAAAGAAAAGUCAUACAAGUUAGAUAGUAGUCUUUGAUUUAACUUCUAUUUCUGAAUUUUGAAUACUUGUUAUAUACGGAUUUUCUGUUAUUUGAAUCAUUAAAUGUUAAAUUAAUUGAUCGGC